CUCAUUUCUUUAUUCAAGGAUACCAUUUGGGAUGAUGACCUUCAGGAAAUGCCAAGUUGCCCUUUCAUAUUUGCGAAAGGUGGCGGUUUCCUGACAGCGAGGUCCUUCACAGUUUGCAUUGACAACGUCCCUCUCAUGCAAGCAUCCAGUCCCAGAGAGGCGUUCAAUAUAUUCUUUCUGGCACACUUUGCGUCAACGUUGCCUACCCAAAAGAGGCGCGUCUUACCCUGGAGUUCACUCAUAGGUCAAUUGUCACUGUCACUUCCGGAAAGGGCACAAAGACUGAGCAUACACGUGGGAAACAGCACAACAUGAACCCCAAAGUGGCGUCAUUGAUUAGCUUCCUCAAGGACUUGACUUUUAAACAUCUGUGCCUGUCAACUCGAACAAUAUCCCCGGAAGAUUCCUUAAUCUGGACCCCUUGUGAUACUGUGGGCAUAGUGAACGAAGCGGGAAUU
rnacentral:lncRNA from 1 species